AUACGUAUGUCGCAAGCGUUAUCCGGAUUUAUUGGGCGUAAAGCGCGUCUAGGCGGCUUAGUAAGUCUGAUGUGAAAAUGCGGGGCUCAACCCCGUAUUGCGUUGGAAACUGCUAAACUAGAGUACUGGAGAGGUAGGCGGAACUACAAGUGUAGAGGUGAAAUUCGUAGAUAUUUGUAGGAAUGCCGAUGGGGAAGCCAGCCUACUGGACAGAUACUGACGCUAAAGCGCGAAAGCGUGGGUAGAAAACAGGAUUGGAUGCCCUGGUAGUCCACGCCGUAAACGAUGAUUACUAGGUGUUGGGGGUCGAACCUCAGCGCCCAAGCUAACGCGAUAAGUAAUCCGCCUGGGGAGUACGUACGCAAGUAUGAAACUCAAAUGAAUUGACGGGG
rnacentral:rRNA from 1 species